ACGGGGGCAGCAGUGGGGGAUAUUGCACAAUGGAGGAAACUCUGAUGCAGCAACGCCGCGUGAGGGAAGAAGGUCUUCGGAUUGUAAACCUAAGUUGUCAGGGACGAAACAUGACGGUUCCUGAAGAGAAAGCUCCGGCUAACUACGUGCCAGCAGCCGCGGUAAUACGUAGGGAGCGAGCGUUGUCCGGAUUUACUGGGUGUAAAGGGUGCGUAGGCGGGUCUGCAAGUCAGGCGUGAAAUCCCACGGCUUAACUGUGGGGCUGCGCUUGAAACUGUAGAUCUUGAGUGAAGUAGAAGCAAGCGGAAUUCCUAGUGUAGCGGUGAAAUGCGUAGAUAUUAGGAGGAACACCAGUGGCGAAGGCGGCUUGCUGGGCUUUAACUGACGCUGAGGCACGAAAGCAUGGGGAGCAAACAGGAUUAGAUACCCUGGUA
rnacentral:rRNA from 1 species